rnacentral:rRNA from 2 species
UCAGGACGAACGCUGGCGGCGUGCCUAAUACAUGCAAGUCGAACGAACUCUGGUAUUGAUUGGUGCUUGCAUCAUGAUUUACAUUUGAGUGAGUGGCGAACUGGUGAGUAACACGUGGGAAACCUGCCCAGAAGCGGGGGAUAACACCUGGAAACAGAUGCUAAUACCGCAUAACAACUUGGACCGCAUGGUCCGAGUUUGAAAGAUGGCUUCGGCUAUCACUUUUGGAUGGUCCCGCGGCGUAUUAGCUAGAUGGUGGGGUAACGGCUCACCAUGGCAAUGAUACGUAGCCGACCUGAGAGGGUAAUCGGCCACAUUGGGACUGAGACACGGCCCAAACUCCUACGGGAGGCAGCAGUAGGGAAUCUUCCACAAUGGACGAAAGUCUGAUGGAGCAACGCCGCGUGAGUGAAGAAGGGUUUCGGCUCGUAAAACUCUGUUGUUAAAGAAGAACAUAUCUGAGAGUAACUGUUCAGGUAUUGACGGUAUUUAACCAGAAAGCCACGGCUAACUACGUGCCAGCAGCCGCGGUAAUACGUAGGUGGCAAGCGUUGUCCGGAUUUAUUGGGCGUAAAGCGAGCGCAGGCGGUUUUUUAAGUCUGAUGUGAAAGCCUUCGGCUCAACCGAAGAAGUGCAUCGGAAACUGGGAAACUUGAGUGCAGAAGAGGACAGUGGAACUCCAUGUGUAGCGGUGAAAUGCGUAGAUAUAUGGAAGAACACCAGUGGCGAAGGCGGCUGUCUGGUCUGUAACUGACGCUGAGGCUCGAAAGUAUGGGUAGCAAACAGGAUUAGAUACCCUGGUAGUCCAUACCGUAAACGAUGAAUGCUAAGUGUUGGAGGGUUUCCGCCCUUCAGUGCUGCAGCUAACGCAUUAAGCAUUCCGCCUGGGGAGUACGGCCGCAAGGCUGAAACUCAAAGGAAUUGACGGGGGCCCGCACAAGCGGUGGAGCAUGUGGUUUAAUUCGAAGCUACGCGAAGAACCUUACCAGGUCUUGACAUACUAUGCAAAUCUAAGAGAUUAGACGUUCCCUUCGGGGACAUGGAUACAGGUGGUGCAUGGUUGUCGUCAGCUCGUGUCGUGAGAUGUUGGGUUAAGUCCCGCAACGAGCGCAACCCUUAUUAUCAGUUGCCAGCAUUAAGUUGGGCACUCUGGUGAGACUGCCGGUGACAAACCGGAGGAAGGUGGGGAUGACGUCAAAUCAUCAUGCCCCUUAUGACCUGGGCUACACACGUGCUACAAUGGAUGGUACAACGAGUUGCGAACUCGCGAGAGUAAGCUAAUCUCUUAAAGCCAUUCUCAGUUCGGAUUGUAGGCUGCAACUCGCCUACAUGAAGUCGGAAUCGCUAGUAAUCGCGGAUCAGCAUGCCGCGGNNAAUAC